UACGUAGGGUGCGAGCGUUUAAUCGGAAUUACUGGGCGUAAAGCGUGCGCAGGCGGUUUUGUAAGCCAGAUGUGAAAUCCCCGGGCUUAACCUGGGAAUGGCAUUUGGGACUGCAAGGCUGGAGUGCGGCAGAGGAGACUGGAAUUCCUGGUGUAGCAGUGAAAUGCGUAGAUAUCAGGAGGAACACCGGUGGCGAAGGCGGUUCUCUGGGCGAUGUCCUGACGCUGAGGAGCGAAAGUGUGGGGAGCGAACAGG
rnacentral:rRNA from 1 species